AAAAAAAAAAAAAAAAAGAUUUUUUUUCCUUUACAAACUGUGAAUAGCUGCCAGAAACACAUGCAGAAGCGAUGGGGAAGCUGAAGGUGACAUGUAUCAGUGGAGAGAGAGGGAGAAGGAAAGAGAGAGAGAUUGCACGAGCUAAAGGGAGCAUGUGCUCAGACAGAAGGAGCAAAUGCGGCUUCCAAACUAGCAUUUCAGACAGCCCCAGGGUGGGUCCAUACUGUGUCCACAGAGGUCCUGAGACCACUGCUAAGAGACCUGCCCUACCCCCUGCAGGUGUGUUGCACUCUGAAAAUAACUUGUGCGUUUGCUGUUCGAGGGGUGGUGCGUCUGCCCCAUGAUGAUCUCAGGAGCAAUCCCUGGACUGAGAUCCUGGGAGCACCCCUGACCACACCGUAAAGCUACUGCACAGUGUUUUGGGGGGUGAAUGUGGAGCAGGAUCAAGUGGGCAGGGCUUGUUUUUUUGACAACCGUCUUGAGAUGACUGCAAACAUGGUACAAGCCCAUACCUUGUGGACACCAGCAAUGGGCAAGGGGCAGAGCUGCGGUCUCACCUUACACUUGGGUCUUUCUGGUGAAACUCACCAAAAUACAAGAGCAAUUUCUGCUCGUCCUCAGCUAACACCUGCUAUCACCCAACCGAGUUGUGCUGGUGUCUUCAAUGACUUGAUACAAUCUUCACCCAUCCGUGUGCUUCUCGCACUCUCCACUCUGCCUGAGCUGCUUCUGCAGCAUGUGCCUUGUAUUGGGAGAGGCAUUGUCUUCUACAGGACACCUAAAGAGAAGAAAAUGAGAUGAGACCUGAGCUGUUGGCUAUUUGAGGCCAUCGAGGAACUCAUGGUACUUUAUUUUUGUACUAAUUCUGAACUUUUAACAUCAGUCCUGCUCAGAUUCAGAUCGGACCAUCACACUGCCCUACACACAUUCCUCCCAGGGGAUCAGCUGCAUGUGAUGAUCUUCUCCCCUUCCUGGUCUAAAUCGCCAUGUGCUGUUGCUGAUAAUUGUGAGAUAUUGUCAGGGUUUCAUGCUAGAAAUGGCCACAUUUCUGUAGUGGAUGAAAUGUGAGUCCUUAGUUUUUUUUUAUAGGUUUGGCCAGCUGUCAUUUGUAAAAUCACUUGUGGAUCAAAGACUUCACAGACAUGCUGGGAUUAUCUGAAGGAGACUUUAAUUCCUGGUUUAUUCAAUACAUUUAUUAGAUGUUUAGGAAUGUGUAAAUCUGCCCAGAGAUCUCUCAUGUUAAAUGUCUAUAAGGAACCAGAAAAAAACAAAACCUAUGCAGGUGAAGCGGAGCUGGCUUCGCAUUUGCAUUGCAGCCUCCCUUGUUAAGGCAGGUAUAAUUCAGCAGCUCUUCAGGCAGCUGAUGUGUCUGGACAAAAUCAGUACCAGCUUCUACCCCCUCCCCAACCACAGCAGAUGUUUCUGCUUUGGAUUGAUUUUGCUUUGGAAUAAGAGAUGGAGCCGCACCUCUCAGCAGCAAAGGGAGGACUGCUGAGCAGUUGUGAUACCAGCGCUGGAGCUCACAGGGAAUAGCUAAGACUGAACAUUUCCCCAGGGGGCCACAGCUCCUGGGAUCAAUCUCAAAGCUCUUCUCUGAAAGAAAGCAAUCAAAACUUUGACUUGUAUCCAGGACUACUGCCACUGCCUGCUAGGCGAGAGCGCUGGUUUUACUGCUCCCCAGUCUCACUUAUUCCUUCUGUUUGUCUUCACCAUUUGUCACUUUGGGUGCAAGUCCUGUCUGGGUUACCCCUUACAAGUACGGCUGUCAGCUGCCAUUGUAGCCAAUGCAGCAGAGUUGAACCAGGGGCCUUUGGAGUUAAGUAUGAGCUGUUGUUUGAAAUAAAGAGUAAAGAUACCUUGGGUCUGUGAGUCAAUCCAGGUGUCUGCUUUAUACAGGCUCCACAACUGAAAGAUCAAUGCCCACUGAACUACUUCUGCACGCUCUACAGUGAUCCUUCGAGGCUGUUGGUGAAGCCCCUCUAAGGAGCAGUUUAUGGGAGUGUUUGUGCUGCUGUUGCUGAUACUCCACUGGUGUUUAAGGCGAGCUCACGUCUUUGGUUUCCAGCUAGCUCCCAGGCAAAGAUGUCAGGCAGGAUACAGGAUGAAGGAUGUACUUCAAACCAGGGCAGUGGAUCUGCAGCACCCUUCAAAUAUUUGUUGUGUGUGGGCAAAAGCAAAUGGAUCUCUCCAUUGAAGAGUGCUGCAGCGAAAUGUUGUGAGAUCCCAAAAGGAGAGAUGCAGCAGAAGAGGGCAUGGCAUUUUGCUUACUCCUUAGAGCAGCUCUGAAUGCAAGCCAUCUCCUCCUCUUGGCUACAUUGGCCUGGUCAUUGUCAAGACUAUGACAGGGUUUUCAGCCCACCAUCUCAAUGACUGUAUUCUUUCUGUAAAGGGAAAUAUAACUGGGCAAUCAAAUCUCUUUUCUGCUCUCCCAAAAAAGCCUUUCAGAUUCUGAGUACAUAAAUGAGACAUUAGCUAAAACACUGAAUGAUUCAUGAACCUCUGAUCUUUAGAUUUCAAUGAAUAUGGAGAAGUAUCGAUAAAAAAAUAAUGAGAGAAUUGUACUUGCAAAUUGCUCUUUAUUAAAGGUUUAACUUGCGUGGUUUCUAUACCUUCCCUAUCAGACCUUGCAAAGCUGCAUGGGAUUAGAAAUCAGAGAGGAUAAUAACGUACAAAAAUAGUUUCAAAUGUUGAUAACACUGAACAGCGAGAAAAACAUCUUAUUUGUAUAAUUGAGCUAAAAAUAAAAAUAAAGAACAUUGCUACAAUUGCAAUAUGCCAUCUUGUAGUGCUCAAAACAUAUGUUGAAGUCUCUGAGCCAUAUGCUCCCAUGGCUUGCUUGCUACAGAGUUGAAGAAAAGCGUAGCAAUUUGCUACCAAUCAACCCUCAAAAGCACAAGCGCUGGCCAAAACCUCCUACUUGGUCUGAUGCCAAAUCAAAUUACAGCUGAAAAUUGGUAGGUGAACCACAUGAGAACCAUAAAGAGCUCAAACUAUAGGGGUGUGGUCUAGGGACACAUGGGAGGAGUCAGGGGGAAGCCAAAUGACUAUAGAUGUUGCUAUGGAAACCUAACAUCACAUGCUACAGAAAAGACAUUUUUAAGUCAGCUGCUGCUUAAGGUUCAAAGCCAAGUCCUUGUACACAGCACAACUACUGGGUUGCAAGCAAGGGAGGUGGAAGACAGGACACAAUCCACCCCCC